CGGCAUGCUUUACACAUGCAAGUCGAACGGCAGCGAGGAGAAGCUUGCUUCUCUGUCGGCGAGUGGCGAACGGGUGAGUAUAGCAUCGGAACGUGCCAAGUAGUGGGGGAUAACCAAACGAAAGUUUGGCUAAUACCGCGUAAGCUCCAAGGAGGAAAGUAGGGGACCUAAAUAAGGCCUUACGCUAUUUGAUCGGCCGAUGUCGGAUUAGCUAGUUGGUGGGGUAAUGGCUCACCAAGGCAAUGAUCCGUAGCGGGUCUGAGAGGACGAUCCGCCACACUGGGACUGAGACACGGCCCAGACUCCUACGGGAGGCAGCAGUGGGGAAUUUUGGACAAUGGGGGAAACCCUGAUCCAGCCAUGCCGCGUGUAUGAAGAAGGCCUUAGGGUUGUAAAGUACUUUUGUUAGGGAAGAAAAGCUAGUUUUUAAUAAAAAUUAGUGAUGACGGUACCUAAAGAAUAAGCACCGGCUAACUACGUGCCAGCAGCCGCGGUAAUACGUAGGGUGCAAGCGUUAAUCGGAAUUAUUGGGCGUAAAGCGAGUGCAGACGGUUACUUAAGCCAGAUGUGAAAUCCCCAAGCUUAACUUGGGACGUGCAUUUGGAACUGGGUGACUAGAGUGUGUCAGAGGGAGGUAGAAUUCCACAUGUAGCGGUGGAAUGCGUAGAGAUGUGGAGGAAUACCGAUGGCGAAGGCAGCCUCCUGGGAUAACACUGACGUUGAGGCUCGAAAGCGUGGGGAGCAAACAGGAUUA
rnacentral:rRNA from 1 species